rnacentral:piRNA from 1 species
UGAUAGAUUGUCUGAUAGAAGAGAAGUGC